rnacentral:rRNA from 1 species
AGAGGUACUUCUGGGGUAGGGGUAAAAUCCUGUAAUCCUAGAAGGACCACCGGUGGCGAAGGCGUCUUGCUAGAACGGAUCCGACGGUGAGGGACGAAGCCCUGGGUCGCAAACGGGAUUAGAUACCCCGGUAGUCCAGGGUGUAAACGCUGCAGACUUGGUGUUGGGAACCCUUCGGGGGUGCUCAGUGCCGGAGAGAAGUUGUUAAGUCUGCUACUUGGGGAGUACGUCCGCAAGGAUGAAACUUAAAGGAAUUGGCGGGGGAGCACCGCAACGGGAGGAGCGUGCGGUUUAAUUGGAUUCAACGCCGAAAAACUCACCAGCAGCGACUGUUACAUGAAAGUCAGGUUGAUGACCUUACUAGAUUUUCAGAGAGGUGGUGCAUGGCCGUCGUCAGUUCGUACCGUAAGGCGUUCUCUUAAGUGAGAUAACGAACGAGACCCUCACCAAUAAUUGCUACUUAUCCCUCCGGGGGUAAGGCACAUUAUCGGGACCGCUGGCGCUAAGUCAGAUGAAGGAGAGGUCAACGGUAGGUCAGUAUGCCCCGAAUUUCCUGGGCUACACGCGCGCUACAAAGGGCGGGACAAUGGGUUCUGACACCGAAAGGUGUAAGCAAUCCCGAAACCCGUCCGUAGUUCGGAUUGAGGGUUGUAACUCACCCUCAUGAAGCUGGAUUCCGUAGUAAUCGCGAAUCAACAACUCGCGGUGAAUAUGCCCCUGCUCCUUGCACACACCGCCCGUCAAACCA